rnacentral:lncRNA from 1 species
CUAGAACACCAUACCUUAAACCAUCCCCUCUAAUUAUUACUCUUUUCACAAAAGAUAUUUUUGAAACUCUUCACCUGCAACAAGUUGGGACACAUUUAUAAAGAACUACUUUGUCUUGCCCCAAGAAGAAAAAUCCAACGCCACCCUCCUUUGUCUUCGCUUUCCUAAUUAAGCUAAUUUCUGGCUGCCCUCUAGCCUCUCCGAGCGACCUCUUUUUGAGCACCAAAUACAAAUCCAAGCCUGCCUUUGUCCGUCUCUAAGCACAGUCGACCAAAACAUCACGGAACCCAUCAUCUGCUGCUGUUACCACACGCGAUCACCACCGUAGCCGUCGCCACUGCAGCACCAACGAACGUCCGUGAACCAACCGCAGGAUCUCAUACUCGUUGAGGACAACUCGUAUCUAUAUCGUUUUGCUAAAUUGACUAAAGGAUUUUUUUGAAUUGAACUCGUUGUCGCGUGUUCUGAUGUUAAGGUUCUCAGGGUACUCAGGGCGGGGUGUGAAGAGAGAAGAAUUGAGCUCUAGGACUUUUAAUCAGAGGAAAUUAGUCAUUUUUGUAGCAUAUGCUAGCUUAUCUAUUUUGACCACCCUCUAAUAUGUAAUAAACUUUACCCUAGGGCUCUUGUACAUUCUUUUGGUGAUGUACUCCUAAUGUUUAACUUAUGGAAUUAUGUCUUAUGUUUUGAAUACU